GCAUGGACUAUAUACAUUAUAAAAAGAUAAAAUCAUAUUCUAUUUUGUGCAUGCAAAGACGAAAAAAAAGUAUGGCUAAAAUGCUCAAGUUUUUCUUUGCUAUAAUUCUACUUCUCUCAUUGUUUCUUGUUGCAACGGAAGUUGGUGGUGCAUAUAUUGAAUGUGAAGUUGAUGAUGAUUGUCCAAAACCAAUGAAAAAUUCACACCCAGAUACUUAUUAUAAGUGUGUUAAACACAGAUGUCAGUGGGCCUGGAAGUAGAAUUAGAGCUAUACUUUUAGGAUAAUUUAAUUAUUAAAUUGCCACACAAUAAAUUAUUUUAAUAAGCUUUAUGAACAAUGCAUUUAUGACCAUGUACUCUAUGAGAAUGGUAAAACAGUAAACAAUAUUAUUUAGAUUGUCUUAUUCUCUCUGAAGUUUGGAGGUACCGCCAUUUUAUCCAAUUUAGGCAUAUAACACCUUAUUUUCAACACCACCACCUAAAAAAAUAAAUUUAGUGGUGGGGUAAAAAUAAUUUUCAUCUUAAUUCAAAGGCUAUAAUUUUAUUUUUAUGAAAAAAAAUAUUAUCGCACUUAUCAUUUUCUAA